GACGAACGCUGGCGGCGUGCUUAACACAUGCAAGUCGAACGGAAAGGCCCUGCUUGCAGGGUACUCGAGUGGCGAACGGGUGAGUAACACGUGGGUGAUCUGCCCUGCACUUCGGGAUAAGCCUGGGAAACUGGGUCUAAUACCGGAUAGGAGCCAUUUUUAGUGUGAUGGUUGGAAAGUUUUUUCGGUGUAGGAUGAGCUCGCGGCCUAUCAGCUUGUUGGUGGGGUAAUGGCCUACCAAGGCGGCGACGGGUAGCCGGCCUGAGAGGGUGGACGGCCACAUUGGGACUGAGAUACGGCCCAGACUCCUACGGGAGGCAGCAGUGGGGAAUAUUGCACAAUGGGCGCAAGCCUGAUGCAGCGACGCCGCGUGGGUGAUGACGGCCUUCGGGUUGUAAACUCCUUUCGCUAGGGACGAAGCUUUUGUGACGGUACCUAGAUAAGAAGCACCGGCUAACUACGUG
rnacentral:rRNA from 1 species